rnacentral:lncRNA from 1 species
UGGUGAAGCAUCAAAGCCUUUCCAUGCAGUGAAACAGAGCGCAGCAGCCCUUAAUUCUGCAUUCCCAAUCCCUGCUGGAACUUGAAGCACAGGACCUACGGACAGAAACAGCUUUGGAGGACAGAGCUGGCAGGAACAAGGAGCAGGAGGCAGAGAAUAUUCCAGGUAAUUCAGAAUUUCCCUUCCGUACAUCCCCAUUCUCUGCACGUGCGUUUUGCCAGCGUUCAGCCAGGAAGGAUCAAGGCUGCUUCCCUGCUACUGCAAGGAACUUUUCCAUGUGCCCACAAGGUCAUGGACACUCUGGAACAGGAGGGAUUGAGACAGCACAAGUGACAGCAGAGACGGCAUCUCCUGGGUGGAAGGAGCUGGAGCCGAGGCACCCACUUUGCUCCUCCUGGGAGACAGCUCCACGCAGUCAGACACCACCAGGGUGCCAAGCAAUGAAGUCAGCAGCACUGAACUCAGCAGCUGUACAGAUGUCUUGGGUUUGGGGCCAUGCUCAACAUAUCAACUCCAACAGGAGGUUUUUGGAAGGUUCCUCAGGAGCCAGGCGGUUCUUGCUGCACUGUCCACAGGCAAACACUGCUCUGGCUCUUUGGCCAAACUGGAACAGUGCCAGUCACUCAGGGAACUGCUGCCAUUGAGAUCUCUUGUCAGAGAGGAACUUGAAUAUUGAAGAGAAUUAAAGAGCCACAGAAUAUCCUGAGCUGGGAGGGACCCCCAGGAUCACCCAGCCCAGCUCCCAGACCUGCCCAGACCCCCCAACAUCCCAGCCUGGGCAUCCCUGGAGCUCUGGCAGCCUCGGGGCCGUGCCCAUUCCCUGGGGAGCCUGGGCAGUGCCAGCAGCCUCUGGGGGAAGAACCUUGCCUUGAUCUGCAGCCUGAGCCUGGCCUGGCCCAGCUCCAGCUCCUGGGGAGCUCUGCCCUCAGUCUCUUCUCCAGGCUGAACAAAUCAAGAGAUAAUAAUAAUAAUAAUAAUAAU